rnacentral:lncRNA from 1 species
ACAUACGGGAUUGCACGAUCUGAUGGUCCAAAUCGCAAGCGGUCUUGAUCUGAUGGUCUGGGAUGCUGUUUUGAUGCGAUCAGGAAUUCUAAUGGGAUUGAGACUCGGAUUGAAGUUUUAAAAGACCUGUGGCGAGCAGAGGCAACAGCAAAUCUGGUGGUGUGGUGUGUUCGGCCGAGGAUCCAGAGCAGCAGUAGACCAAGAGGAGUCGUC